rnacentral:rRNA from 1 species
CGGAGCUAACGCGUUAAGUCGACCGCCUGGGGAGUACGGCCGCAAGGUUAAAACUCAAAUGAAUUGACGGGGGCCCGCACAAGCGGUGGAGCAUGUGGUUUAAUUCGAUGCAACGCGAAGAACCUUACCUACUCUUGACAUCCAGCGAACUUGCCAGAGAUGGCUUGGUGCCUUCGGGAACGCUGAGACAGGUGCUGCAUGGCUGUCGUCAGCUCGUGUUGUGAAAUGUUGGGUUAAGUCCCGCAACGAGCGCAACCCUUAUCCUUUGUUGCCAGCGAUUCGGUCGGGAACUCAAAGGAGACUGCCGGUGAUAAACCGGAGGAAGGUGGGGAUGACGUCAAGUCAUCAUGGCCCUUACGAGUAGGGCUACACACGUGCUACAAUGGCGCAUACAAAGAGAAGCGACCUCGCGAGAGCAAGCGGACCUCAUAAAGUGCGUCGUAGUCCGGAUCGGAGUCUGCAACUCGACUCCGUGAAGUCGGAAUCGCUAGUAAUCGUGGAUCAGAAUGCCACGGUGAAUACGUUCCCGGGCCUUGUACACACCGCCCGUCACACCAUGGGAGUGGGUUGCAAAAGAAGUAGGUAGCUUAACCCUCGGGAGGGCG